rnacentral:lncRNA from 1 species
UAAGCCUAUUUUGGUGGAUGAGAUCUUGGCCUUUCAUCUUAGGUUUAGUUUUUCUUUAGGGGAGGUGCCUUAAAAGGAAAGGGAGCCGAAAAACAAAGGAGGGGACUGGAGUCUAAGGCAACGGACGAGGGAAAGAAAAGAAUACAGAGCAAGGAAAAAACAGGGGAGGUUACGGGCAAAAACCGAAAAUGAAAAUGAAAAAACAGAGAGGGGCGGCUGAAAAAAGGGGAGAGCUUCGUGAGGCAGGGGAGUUUCGUCUGAGAAGGGAGCUACGGCUGAGACAAGAAAAACAAAAGGGGGCUAAGAAGCAAAAAAAAAACAGAGGGUGCCAAUUAGAGAGGAAAUGGAGGGCGGCUAAGGGGAAAAAUCUGGAGAAGAGGGGAGAGUUUUCGGGUGAGGCCAGAAACCGAGAGAAAAGCUACGGCUGAAGGAGCAAGGCUUCGGACAGAAAUGAAAAACUAAGGAAAGGGCCAAAGGAAAGCUUCAGGCGUCUGGGAAGAAGCAAGAAAAACAGAGGAGGCUGCCUCUGUUUUCUUCUUUUUUUUCCUUUUCGCGCACCGCCGCCCACCCCAAAUCUCCUCUCUCUCCCCCACGCCUUCUGCCAUUGCCACCACCGCGCGCAACUUCCAUCGAAACCACUGCAGCUGUGAGGGUGAAAGUCAAGGCCCUUUACAAGAUUCCACCCUCUCGAUCACAGCUUGCAAUUAUACCGGUGAAAAGAAAGCUGCCACCAGCAUCCAAAGCCGCGGCAUCGGCAGCUGCCACCCAGGAAGUAAAGCCAACUAAAAGGUGGAGAAGAAGGGAGUUGAAGCCAUGGCGCCCGCUGCCUAAAAUCACUCAAACCUGUAUCAGAGGAACCACUGUUAGAGGCCAUCGUGAGGUAACCUAUCCAUUUACAUUUCAGUCUUUUGUCAAAAUAUAUUUGCCGUGAGGUUGGCGUCUCAAUUUUUGUUUGUCGAUUCUUCAUGUCCUUUUGGAAUACACGUAUGCUGUAUGUUGAUUGGAAUGUGUCUCUUGGGUUGCUGAUAGUAUUUUGGCUAAUUAUAAUAUCGAUUGAGCAAAAAUCAGUGAAAUUUUUGAUGCCCAGUUGGUGUUCGAUGAAAUGACCAAUUGAAUGUUAUACUCGGAAAAGCGAUUUGUCUGCAUUUGCGCAUGUGAAGAAACAAACGAACAACAAUUUCAAUGUUGUUUCAGAACAUAAUAAUUGAUUUCUAGGGUAGAAAGAAGAAUUUUGAUCUUGAUACAUUGGCAUGCGACUGUCUCUGUUUUCCUUUUCGGGCUCUGCUUUUUCUUUUGUAUGGAUUCGAAUUGACGGCAUGAAAUUGGCUUGAGGAACAGUUUGAGUGAGUUUUAUGCUUUGGGUUGAAAUUUGCUGAUUCUUUGGUGAUCAUUCGUCCGCAAAAGAAAGAUGAAGAUGGCAACUCCCAUUUGCCCGUUUGGAAAAAUGAUUAUUUGUAUAAUCUGUAAUCUCAUUCCCAUGAUUUCCUUUUUUUUUCCUGUAAUUUGCUCCCCACAGUUUUUUAAAACUUCAUAAUUUGACCCCAAAAUGUUCACAAUUCUUUCAACUAGAUCCCUAUUUUUGUUGUGAUUGAGCCUCUCAAAUUCCCCCUUGUUCUGAAUUAACCCGGAAAAUUGGAAAAGUGAACUUGUUUCUCCCUUUUAGAUUUUAAAUCAUCUUCUAAUAAGCAUGAGUAGUCCUUUAACUAAAUUAAUUUUGGGUUUUAGAUCAUAAUUGUGGCUUAAAUAAUUUUAGUUGAUUUGUUAUCUUGUUGGGCUUAGACUUAUGUUUGGCUAAUGAUAUUUAGUUGGGUUUGUGUAAGAGGGCUCAAUUCAUUUUUGGGUUUUUGGCUUGGGCUAGAGGGUCGUGGCCCAUGUGUUUUGGUUGGCUAAUUUUUGGGCUAAAAUAAUAUACUAGACCACUUGUUUUUCCUUGGACUUCCGAUUGGGCCAAGUGAUCUUGGCCCAAGAAAGGUGAAAAUGGCCCAUACCCUUUUGUUUUGGAUUUCCGAUUGGGCCUGGAAUGUUUUGGCCCAAGCAAAUAAGGAAAUAUGGCCCAAUGGCCUGAUCCAUUAGGAAACCAGAAAACGUUUUUGCAAAUCAGUCCCUGAAUUUCUCCUUAAUCGUACUGUGGCCCUGGACAUUUUCAACUUCUUUCAAUUCGGUCCUUAAUUAAUUGCAAAUAGGUCCCUGAACUUUAUUUUUCUUUAAUUUUGACCCCAAAACUUUGUUCAUUUUUGCAAUUAAGUCCCUUCUUCUCUUGACUUUUUAAAUGUGAAUUGUCUACAUGAUUUAAUUGAUUCAAAUUCAUGCUUAUUUUCCAUCCUUUGUGAUUUUGCCAAAUAAAUUGGUACCUUGACCUUUUUAUUGUUUUGAAGCUAAUAUCUCAUCUACUCGAUUUCCAUUGCAAGGGAGGUAACUUCUAUAUUCUUGAUUUUAUUUUUCCUAUGUGCUCCUACGUGUUAUGUGAAUAUGCCUGUCUAUUUCGCUUUCCUUACCUCCUUACAUGCAUUUACUUGCUUUUAAUUUUAUUUAAGUUUUAUGGGGUAUGUGUACACCUCUUGGCUUGUAAUAGAUAGUGCUCGGAGAGCAUCUUGUCCAUUUCCCCUUCCCCUUUAAGUUUUAUGGGGUAUGUGUACACCUCUUGGCUUGUAAUAGAUAGGGCUCGGAGAGCAUCUGGUCCACUUCCCCUUCCCCCUGGUUGCUUGCUUUUGUUGCUACAUGUUUAAUUGCUUUAUUAGGCUCUUGCAUCUAGUCGAGCAUGCUAAAUGCUAUGUGCUAUGUGUUUACGAGUAUUUUGGCAUGUCUACUUGCUUUCAUAGCCAUAAAUGAAUGGAAUGGAUGAAUAUACGUUUCCGCUAGUCCAACGCUAGUCGGAAUUCAUAGAAUGGGCUAGUCCAACGCUAGACCCUUAGGGAUUUCCCCUCAUUAGCAUAUCAUUUGCUUGUUCACCACAUAUCAUGCAUUUUUCUUAGUUUUAUCACUUGGCAUGCUCCUCGAACCCCCUUUCCCUUCAUUUUAGGAUUUUUGCAUAUCAUGAUAGUUGUAGGGUCCAUUUGCUUGAGGGUCCCCUUCUGAUAAGGGAAACGAGCGAGUGUGGCUACUCGAUAGCCUUAGCACGCUAGUUUUGCCUUCUAAUCAAAGGGAAAAUCGAAGUCGAAAAAGUUAGGAGUCAUUCCCACACCCGACCUGAUGCAUUCCCUUAGGUUCAUUCAUUCUCAUUUAUCACUCACUCAUUCUUUUCAAUUCACAUUUUCCUUUCCUUAUUGUUCAUUUUGAUUUCUACUUCACAAAAUUGCAUUUAAUUACACCUAUACGCACUUCUCACUAUAUUUCAUACACUUGCACACAAACACUUGGAAUUUUCAUACAAUUGCACACGUGCACCUUUCCAUACACUUGCACACAAACACUUGGAUUUUUAAUUUCUUUCAUACACUUCCACACUUGCACAUUUGAGUCUCAUUUGCAUUAAUCGACCUCUAUGGGGUUUUCCUUUGUUGGCCGCCACAAUUCAUGUGGUUUGGGACCAAAAGCCUCACGAGAGACAUCGUAGAAUUUAGGAUUGCAUUUUUCUUUCCGUUUUGCAUUCAUAUAGUCAUAUCCAACGUGCGAACAUAUAUUGGGUAGAAAAUUAGGAAAGGUAAGGUUAAGUCGCGCAACUAGCCUUGGCUAGGUCAAAGGGGUGCCUUGGAUUCUAUCCUUGCCUUCCCCUUUGUCAAACGUGACCCCCGAACCUUUUUCUUUGGCUUACGUGGACUAGGAGUCGUUUUAAAAAGGGUUUUACUACUUUGUCUUUAAAAAACACUUUUUGGGUGACUUGGUACACCCCAAAUCUAUACCAAGUGGCGACUCCGUUUUCAUAUUUAAAAAAAACCCUUUUUAAAAUUUCAUUUGGCCAAAUCGUCGCUUUCCAAAGUCCCAUGGCCUUUUUACUUUUCAUUUUGCACACGUUCACACCACACUUCACACACACAUCACACACAAUUCAUUCAUUCGAAAAGUGGGGCGCGACAGUUGGCGACUCCACUGGGGACUUCCUAAGUGGGUCCGAGCAUUUGAUUUAGCCAUUCGUUUCCUUUUUCUACCCUUUUUAUGCAUUGCAUUUGGAUAUUAGGGUUGCAUUUUCCAUUUUUAGGGCCUUUUGCCUCGCGCGCGUAUCCAACUAUUCCCUCACUCACGUACGUGUGAUUGGUUGAUUGGAUGUAUGUUUACUUAUUUAUCUCGCGCUUGCAUUGCAUUUGGGAGGGGGUGUGGCACCUUUAGAGCCUCGUGUUGGUUCUCAACCCCUUCCCUCAAAAUAGGGGAACACUUCAUACGUGCACGUUUACUUGCUUUUAUCCCAUUUUAUUUUAUUUUUCGUGGGCGCCAUCCCACACCGCCUUGUAGGACUAGGAUCGAUUGCCUUGGGUAGGCGGCUGGUGUGCUCUGCGCCCAUAGCGCUACCUAAGGGAUCACUCGAGCCACCGAUCGAAGGCCCUGGGAGUGAUGACCCUUUGCCUUUAGGUCUGAAGGCUUGGGAACCGAAGCUUUAUCGAGUCUAGGCAUUAGUGAACCCCAGCCUCAUGCAUCCAUAUUAGAAUUUUCCUAGGUUAGAGUCAGCCUCACCCUAUUUUAAGCACAUUAGGCACGAGGGAGGGGGUUCCACCCCUUUUACUUGUUUUUUAUUGUAUUUCUUUUCUUAAUUGCUCCCAAUGUGUUAUGUGUACUAUCAAAUUGCACUAACCGUUCUUUUGUUUUCUUGGCUUGCAUUCAUGUGCCUUAGCGAUAAGAGGCCUCUUUGGCACUCUUUUAGUGACUCACCCACUAGAUAGCUCACAUAUCUAAAUUUCAGUCUUUGCACUUGCUUUUCAGUAAAUACAUUUCAUGUUUAGACCUUUUCCCCCCGUUGCAUUAUUUAUGUGCUUUAGCUCACAUUUCAUGUUUGUCACAUAUUUACAUAGCUUUAAUAAACUGGCAUCAUGCAUAAACCAUAGAAAGGGAAUGCCACAUAGGGAAUCCCGUGUUUAGGAUAAGCCACCUUGUGUCUCGGAUACUUAAUCCAGUGAGACUUGCACGUUUACAUUUUGUACCAUCCAAAGGGGUAGUGCACAAGGUAAGGUAGGAUCCGAUUAUUUUCAUAGAGUGAUCUUUGGAAUAUGAGUAUCUAAUAAUCACUUUUUGGCCAUUUUAUCAAAAAUUGGUAAAAAUCCCUUGCGUGAAGGACAUUAAUUCGAAGAAAAUUUACAAAUGAUUCCUCAUUGUUGAGACGAUAAAUCAAUUGAGGCCAAAAUUUGAUUUUAGAGGCUCAUAGACCAAGGCAUUGUAAUGAUUUCUUGAAACCACCCAGUGGGCGAAUAAUUCAACCGAUUUUUGAACAAAUCAUCCAUCUUAUCCAAUCCAUUUUUUUCCAAUUCAUUCAAUUUUAGUUCAAUCUAAUCAUUUUUGAAUAAAUUCAUUUCAUCCAAUUCAUUUGACCAAUUUACCCUUUUUAGGGUCAUUCGGCCGAUUUUUGAAUAAAUCCCUAAUUCAAUUUCGUUCAUUUGACCAAUUUACCCAUUUUUAGGGCGACCGAGCCGAUUUUGAAUAAAUCAUGUUUCGUUCAAUCUAUUUGAUCAAUUUACCCUUUUUAGGGUGAUCUGAUUAAUUUCGGAUAAAUUUCACUCAAUUCAUUUGACCUGUUUCCCUUUUAGGGUAAUUCGGUCGAUUUUAAAUAAAUUGUCAAUUUCAUUCAACCCACUUGCCCUAUUAGGGUUUCAUUGUCAAAUUCCAAAUUGGGAGAUCUAGUCAAUUUUGAAAAAUCGUCCAUUGCAUCCAAUCAUUUGAUCAAUUAGGGUUUUGACCCGUAAUUCACUGAGAAAAUUUGUUAAAACGAAUUCCAAUCUUUUCGAUGGGAGGUUCGUCAAGGUCAAACCCGUGCCUUUUGCAAAUCAAAGGUGAUCAAUCUAUUCGGACGUUGUCCUCAUUUUGACAAAUCUCUCGUCACUCCAAUGGCCAAAUUUUUCAAAUUAUUUUUCACUCCAUAAGCUGAUUGGAUCCAUCAGGUAUAGUAUGGUGCCUACUCUAACGGAUUGCAUUUUCAUGCUAGGCCUACCCUUGGCAUAAAAGGGUUCCCCCAUAGGGCAUGCAUACCGAUUUUAUGGUUUUGAUUACUAACUUUGGGUAUUUUUCUUUUGUUUUCCCCCCUUCCCUGCAUUCAUAAAAAUACUUCAAUAAAGGGAAAAUAUUUUUCUAUAUCUGACGGCACUUUCGAUCUAAUAAAGUGUCAAAACUGCAAGUGUUAUUUGAUUCUUGGACAGAUCCUACAACGAAAACAUAAAUGAUUUAUCUGGAAGCUCUACGCCAAAGCCUCUGAGAGAUGUUGUAAUUGUUUUCCAAAGGAAAAUUUUCUAUAUUUGAUUUGUUAAUACAUUUUGUUCCAAAAAGAAAAGGAGACAAAAAGUGUAUAUGUGGAGCUCUUUACAAGUUUCUCCCUUCUCACUUGUAUCGUAAUUGAAUGAGAAAAUUUGUUUCAAACUUUUUCAGCAAUAAACUGUUUGGACAAUCAUUGUUUUGUGUAUAUUUAUGUACAUUUCAUUCUUUAUUCUUAUUCAUUGGAGAUUUCAUGAUGAAUUUUAAGAAAUAAGACUAAAUUGGGAUUUUUUCAACCUCCGACCUGAAAAUUCACAAUAAGAGUGUUCAGAAUUAAAAGAGGUCAUUCAGAAGGCCCAAUGAGAUAUCUUUUUUCCUUCACUGAACCCCAAAAUAAAAUCAGUCACAUUGAUUGAUAAAUCGCAAAUUGGGGCCAUCUUUGCUUGAAAAUAUCCAUUGUGUUUAAUCGAUUCAAUUCACAUCUAAGUGAAAGCAAAAAUGUGCAUUAUUCUUGUUUGUUUUGGAAAUUUGGAAUGAUACUUCGAGCAUUCUUUUCUCUACCUAUACAGAUUUUUAUCACUUGCUCUCCCAUUUGAGCCUAUGAAAGAAUAAUUUCGUUUCAAAUAAGAGCCCUAAUGAU